GGGCGAUUAGCUCAGUUGGCUAGAGCGCCACGUUUACACCGUGGAUGUCACAGGUUCGAGUCCUGUAUCGCCCA
rnacentral:tRNA from 1 species